rnacentral:rRNA from 1 species
GACAGAGGUGCCGAGCGUUAGGCGGAAUCACUGGGCUUAAAGCGUGUGUAGGCGGGUCGUUAAGUGCCUUGUGAAAUCCCACAGCUCACCUGUGGAACUGCUUGGCAUACUGGCGAUCUUGAGCCACUUAGGGGCAACCGGAACAAACGGUGGAGCGGUGAAAUGCGUAGAUAUCGGGAGGAACACCAGUGGCGAAGGCGACUACCUGGCCUGUUCUUGACGCUGAGGCGCGAAAGCUAGGGGAGCAAACGGG